rnacentral:lncRNA from 1 species
CGACAAAAACACAGCAACAAACACACACACAAAAGUUCUGAGGGAUGGAUGAAAAAGAGUUUGAUCGAAAUAUUGGUUUUUACAAUCAUCUCCAUCCUUACUAUUAAUCGCAAAGUGUUUUAAAUCUGUUUCCAAACAUAACCAAUUAAAUAUUUUUUCAAAACUGCAGAUGAUUUGUUUUUAAAUCGUUUAUACAAGUUUUACAAGGUUUUUAAAAGAUUUUUGAAAAGUUUUUAUACGAUAUUUAUACGUUAUUUAUACAGUAGUUAUGAAAGAUAUAUAAAUUUAUAUAUAAAAAGGUAACUUGUGUAUAUAUACUAUUAAUUAGGAAGUACACCUUAAAACCAAACACCCUCUAAUUGAAAAAAAAAAUUCAUGAAAUAUAUUCCACUUGACAAACAGAAUUAUUGACAGCAAAAAAAAAAAACAAAAAAAC